ACCAAAUAUCAUAUGUUCUCACUCAUAAGUGGGAGCUAAACUAUGAGGAUGCAAAGGCAUAAGAAUAAUACAAUGGACUCUGGGGAUUCAGGGAAAGGGUGGGAGGGGGGUGAGGGAUAAAAGGCUACACAUUAGGUAUAGUGUGUACUACUUGGAUGAUGGGUGCACCAAAAUCUCAGAAAUCACCACUAAAGAACUUAUUCAACAUAAAUAUACAGACAUACACAUACAUAUAUCCUGUUCAUGAUAUAUUAUCCUGUAUAAUUGAAUUCAAUUUGCUUAUAUUUUGUACAUUUUUUUGGUUCACGAGACAUAUUGCCUAUAUCUUUUCCCUUGUAAUGUCCCUGACAGGCUGUGUUAUCAUAACUAUGCUGGUCUCAAAAGAUGAUUUGGGAAAUAAUUUAUCUUUUUCAGUUAUCUGGAGGAGUUUGUGUAAAAUUGGCAUCAUUUCCUCAUUAGUGUUUGCAAGAAUUGACAGAAUAAAUUCCUGAGUUUGUUUUCUGUAGGGAAAGGUUUUAAUUAAAUUUUUUUGUUGUUGUUGUUGUUUUUGAGACCGAGUCUCACUCUGUCGCCCACACUGGAGUGCAAUAGCACGAUCUUGGCUCACCGCAACCUCCACCUCCUGGGUUCAAGCGAUUCUCCUGCUUCAGCCUCCUGAGUAGCUGGGAUUACAGGCACCAGCCUCCACACCCGGCUAAUUUUUUUUUUUUUUUAAGUAGAGAUGAGGUUUCACCAUCUUGGCCAGGCUGAUCUCUAACUCCUGACCUUGUGAUCUACCCACCUCGGCCUCCCAAAGUGCUGGGAUUACAGGUGUGAGCCACCAUGCUGGGCCUAAUUAAAGAUUUUUUAAGUGUGUUUUUUAAUUUGUGUUUUAGUAUGACCGUUAAAGAGCUGUCAUAUUUUCAAUUUAUUUAUUCACUUUAAAGGUAUUCUGUUAAUCUAAAAUGUGAAAUCUAUUGGCAGAAUUUGGGGUAUUUUGUUAUUGAUCUUUUUAGUGAUGAUAGUGUCUUUAGUGAUAACCUUUUUGUCAUUCCUGUUACUAGUAAUAUGCCUUUUCUUGCUAAGGAUUUAUUGAUUUCAUUAAGCUUUUGAAAGAACCACUAGGUUUUGCUGAUUUUUCUCUUUGUUGAUUUAUUUUAUUUUUCAUAUCUGCUUUCUCUUUUGUAUUUCUCCCAUUUUGCUUGUAUUUCUUCUUUUUUUUUAUUAUUAUACUUUAAGUUCUGGGAUACAUGUGCAGAAUGUGCAGGUUUGUUACAUAGGUAUACACGUGCUAUGGUGGUUUCCUGCACCCAUCAACCCGUCACCUACAUCAGGUAUUUGUACUUAUGCUAUCCCUCCCCAGGCCCCCCCAUCCCCCAACAGGCCUUAGUGUGUGCUGUUCCCCUCCCUGUGUCCAUGUGUUCUCUUUGUUCAGCCUCAGUGAGGCAACGCCCCACCCUGGUUCUGCUCGCCCCCCAUGGGCUGCACCCACUGUCUAGCCAGUCCCAGUGAGAUGAGCUGGGUACCUCAGUUGGAAAUGCAGAAAUCACCUGCCUUCUGCGUUGAUCUUGCUGGGAGCUGCAGACUGGAGCUGUUCCUGUUUGGCCAUCUUGUCAGCCACUGGCUUAUAUAUAUAUUUUUUUUAAUUUGCCUUUCCCUGCCUUUUUUAUGGGGAUGCCUAAGUUGUUAAAUUGUAGUAUUUCUUAUUGUUUAUUGUAUGUAUUUUAAAGCCAUGUUAUCCUCUAAAUACUGCUUUAGUUACCUUCCAUACCUCACUUUUUUUUGUUGUUUUUUUUGUUUUUUUUUUGAGAUAGAGUCUCGCUCUGUCACCCAGGCUGGAGUGCCGUGGUGCAAUCUCGGCUCACUGCAAGCUCCGCCUCCCGGGUUGACGCCAUUCUCCCGCCUCAGCCUCCUGAGUAGCUGGGACUACAGGCGCCUGCCACCAUGCCCGGCUAAUUUUUUUGCAUUUUUAGUAGAGACGGGGUUUCACCGUGUUAGCCAGGAUGGUCUCGAUCUCCUGACCUCGUGAUCCGCCCGCCUCGGCCUCCCAAAGUGCUGGCAUUACAGGCAUGAGCCACCAUGCCUGGCUCCGUACCUCAUUUUUAAUUUCAUAUUUCCAUUAUAAUUCAGUUAAAAAUAUUUUCUAAUGUCUGUUCUAAAUUGUUCUCUCGUUAAUGGUUUACUUCAAAUUGUAUUACCCAAUUCCUAAAUAUGUGGGGAUUUUCUAAGCAAGUUUAUGUUACUGAUACCUAGUGUAAUUCUACUCUUGUCAGAGAAGAUAUUCCAUUCAAAUAUUCUACAUUCUU
rnacentral:lncRNA from 10 species